rnacentral:tRNA from 1 species
UCCCUGGUAGCUCAGAUGGUAAAGCAUCUGCCUACAAUGCGGGAGACCCAGGUUCGAUCCCUGGGUUGGGAA